rnacentral:rRNA from 1 species
AUUGAACGCUGGCGGCAGGCCUAACACAUGCAAGUCGAACGGCAGCACGGGUGCUUGCACCUGGUGGCGAGUGGCGAACGGGUGAGUAAUACAUCGGAACGUGCCCAAUCGUGGGGGAUAACGUAGCGAAAGUUACGCUAAUACCGCAUACGAUCUACGGAUGAAAGCGGGGGAUCGCAAGACCUCGCGCGAAUGGAGCGGCCGAUGUCAGAUUAGGUAGUUGGUGGGGUAAAGGCUCACCAAGCCAAUGAUCUGUAGCUGGUCUGAGAGGACGACCAGCCACACUGGAACUGAGACACGGUCCAGACUCCUACGGGAGGCAGCAGUAAGGAAUAUUGGACAAUGGACGCAAGUCUGAUCCAGCCAUGCCGCGUGAAGGAUUAAGGUCCUCUGGAUUGUAAACUUCUUUUAUUAAGGGACGAAAAAAGGUACUUUCUAGAUCGUCUGACGGUACCUUAUGAAUAAGCACCGGCUAACUCCGUGCCAGCAG